CCUCUUUGUGCUUUUCCAAAAUGUCUGAUUUUUAGGGGGGCCAAAAACAUAUUACUAUUACCUUAAAGUUAUUUUUUUCAUAGUACUCUGUCAAUAUUAGACAUCUGAAUUUUCCCUGUACAUUGCAUUUAGUAGCAGUACCAUAUAUAUAUAUGCAGUGUGGACAUAUGAGUGUUGAAAGGAAAGCUAAUUAAGUCACUAAUACCAGUUUUUAAGUUUUUUUUUUCCUUAAAUCACCUCAGGAGAUUCCGGAGCUUAAAAACCCCCUGGUGAAUUUUCUGAGCUUUUCCAUCUCAGAAAAUGGGGCAUUGCCUCCCUGGCCUACAUUUAUACAGAGACUUUCAGAAGAGGCUGAACCCAAACAUUGAGGCUUCCUUCAUCUCUUAUUAGUUAAUAAGGUAACUUCUGGCUUCCUCAUGGACAUCCCCACUGAGUACCCAUACGUGUCAUUAUGCUUCCAUUUUAUGAAGUGCUAAGCAUACCUGGCAUGUGGUAGAUGGCCUUAAGGAACCCCAACUCUGAAACUCUCUGCAGUGAGUUUAAGUCUCAUCAAGGUGCCACAUAGUUGUUGGGGUGAUAAAACACAAAGCCCAGUGGCAUCAUACCCUCCCUCCCACUUUUGCUCUCCUGCCCUCGACCUUUUUCUUGCCCUUUGCUUUGCUUGCUCUUGUGACCUCCGUGCUAUCAUCUUUUGGAAGAAACUGGCCAUGCACAUCUAUUGUCUCAAAGAUUAAAGGUGGUAUAAAGUAUUAGGAAAACUAAGCUGGGUCUAGCCUUUUAAUAGACUGGGCAAGAACUUUGUCCCCUGUUAGCUAACUUAGCUAAUUGAAAGCUCCUGAGUGCUGUUUUUGAACAGCAGCAGGGUUGUGUCAAGCAUUAAACACUUCUCUCUACAAACGUCCAUUACCUUUGCCCUCUCAAGGUAAACCUCAUUUGUCUGGACUUGAUGGGCAGGGUCUGCUGCCCUAUAAAUUUAUAGCAGAAGGUUGAGUGUGUUUAGUAGGGUACCUCUUCGCUGCAUCUUUGGCAACUGCUCUUUCACUCGAGGGCUUGUGGGGAGAGUGAGAGAUGGAGCAUGCACGCACAUCACCCCUGUCCUAUCCCCACCCCCAAAAUGGCCUGGAAGACAAGAGCCAUGGGAUGUCUGGGCAUGGACAUGUUUAUUGUUCAAUUUGUGACA
rnacentral:lncRNA from 1 species